rnacentral:rRNA from 1 species
CCAGAGACCGGCGCACGGGUGCGUAACGCGUAUGCAAUCUACCUUUCACAGAGGGAUAGCCCAGAGAAAUUUGGAUUAAUACCUCAUAGUAUAUUGGUCUCGCAUGAGAUUGUUAUUAAAGAUUUAUCGGUGAAAGAUGAGCAUGCGUCCCAUUAGUUAGUUGGUAAGGUAACGGCUUACCAAGACUACGAUGGGUAGGGGUCCUGAGAGGGAGAUCCCCCACACUGGUACUGAGACACGGACCAGACUCCUACGGGAGGCAGCAGUGAGGAAUAUUGGACAAUGGGCGCAAGCCUGAUCCAGCCAUGCCGCGUGCAGGAUGACGGUCCUAUGGAUUGUAAACUGCUUUUAUACGAGAAGAAACACUGGUUCGUGAACCAGCUUGACGGUAUCGUAAGAAUAAGGAUCGGCUAACUCCGUGCCAGCAGCCGCGGUAAUACGGAGGAUCCAAGCGUUAUCCGGAAUCAUUGGGUUUAAAGGGUCCGUAGGCGGUCAGAUAAGUCAGUGGUGAAAGCCCAUCGCUCAACGGUGGAACGGCCAUUGAUACUGUCUGACUUGAAUUAUUAGGAAGUAACUAGAAUAUGUAGUGUAGCGGUGAA